rnacentral:lncRNA from 1 species
ACAACCAAGUGAACAAGAAUUCGUUGGUAUAAGCGCCACAAUAAGAUCUCAAAAUUAAGACCAAAAGAUUGUAGUAAUAGAGAAGCGAAGCCAAGAACACCAAAAAAAAUGAGAAGGGAAAAGACCCUUCCUCGAAGACGAGGAGAUAAGGGGCGAAGGAUAUUCAUGAUAUUCAGAAAGAUUUAUGUUCAUUCGCUCUGCUCGCAGAGCGGUAUACCGAAAANNNN